rnacentral:lncRNA from 1 species
GAAAAAAAAGAUCGACCAGGGGAGCCUGGUGUGAUGUCGAGCAGGAGAAAAGAAGAAGAGGGAGCCAAUUUCAUCAUGACAAUCACAAAAUUGGAUGGCUAAAACCCCAACUCUGCUCUCUUUGAUCAAUUUCUAGCAUUCUUGGUGAAAUAACGUCUGGAUGGCAACGGGUCAAACGAGUAAUAAAGCAACAACACUCCUACGGGCGAAGGUGAGUGACUCGAAUGUGUUUAGAGUCGUAUUGAUUUAAAUAGACUUAUUGUUGACUUUAGUUUUAUUAGUUAAGGUGGUUUAGUACAACUUAUUGAGUAUGGUUUAACUUAACAAUAACGUAUUGUUUUAGCGAUGUUUUGGGGGUUUUAACCCAUCAAGAAAGAGUACACAAUGUUAAUGGGUUGAUAUACCCAAAUGCUGAAAAUUCAGCUUAUUUUCAAAUUUUUGCUAGUCUUUAAAAAUUCAUAGAAAAUCAACCGAGUGUCCGUUCGGGGUGUAUUUUAUAUCCACGGAAAGGUCUCAGAGUCACCGUUAAUAAGAAUUUUCGUUUGAAGUGAAAUACUCAAUACAAAGAGGGGAAAAUACUGAAUUACUACAGCUGCAUAAAGCUGAGUGAAAAACAUAAAUCUUAUAGUACUUGCAUACUCUUAGGGAAUUUAUAAGGAACCAAUCGGAUGUGAUUAUGUUGUUUUAAACCUCUUUGUAGUUAUAUAUAUUUACAUGAGUUGAAGUGAGUGAUUCCUUGAAUAUGGAUGUGUAUGCUAAAUUAAAAAGUCACGGGUGUUGUAAACUGCAUGUGCAAAAACAUGUGUUCAUUUAGUAGUGCUUAUGAACGAUCGACACUUGUGUCGUUAAAACUAUAUAACGUAUUGGAGUAUGUUAUGAAUACAUGUAUGAAUUAUUAAGAGUAUGUUAGUUAAUAAUGAUUGUUGGUAAUCGUAUAUAUUGUCAAAUGAAUUACAACAUAGAUAUGUGGCAGUUUACCAUUUUAUUUAUAUUGACCGAAGCGGUUUGAUCAUGAUUUCCUUUGAAGUUUCCUUGAUUCUAUAUUAGCAGGGAUAUACAUGAGAUAUAAAAAAAGGGGCGCCCAAAUUAGAAUGGAGAAAGUCACGAAAUGCGUGACUCGAGAUAAUGAAGUGGUGGCUCGAUAUUGUUUCGUUGGGCAUUAUGAGCAUUGAAUACUCCGUUAUGUUUGUUAUAAAAUCAUAUUAUGAGUCCUCACCUAGCAAAAGCUAAUAUUUUUGGUGUUUUCAAUGUAGGUGAUAAGUCAUGAAAAUCAACGGGGUGACUUGAACCGGAAUCAUGAAAGAAGAAAAGACUCACAAGUCAUUCACAAAUAAUUCGUUUGGGGUGGUAGAAAGGCGAAAGUGAUCAAGUCUUGGAAGCGGGUCAAAGAUAGGAGGAUUUAGUGAUAUGUUCACUAAGUAUAGAGGUUUCCUUAUUGGGCCAAUUAGACUUAAUUAUUUGUAUUUUGGAGUUUAAGUCCAAUGUUUAUUUUAGCGAAAUGCUAGUAUGUCAAUGUGGUAAUGGGUUAUGUUUAUUUUAUAAAAACUUUGGUUGUUAAGCAGGUUUUGUUUUCGUAAGGAUUGGUCGUU